GGGAAUAUUGCGCAAUGGAGGAAACUCUGACGCAGUGACGCCGCGUAUAGGAAGAAGGUUUUCGGAUUGUAAACUAUUGUCGUGAGGGAAGAAAUUGACAGUACCUCAGGAGGAAGCUCCGGCUAACUAUGUGCCAGCAGCCGCGGUAAUACAUAGGGAGCAAGCGUUAUCCGGAUUUAUUGGGUGUAAAGGGCGUGUAGGCGGGAGCGCAAGUCAGAUGUGAAAACUCAGGGCUCAACCCUGAGCCUGCAUUUGAAACUGUGUUUCUUGAGUGCUGGAGAGGCAAUCGGAAUUCCGUGUGUAGCGGUGAAAUGCGUAGAUAUACGGAGGAACACCAGUGGCGAAGGCGGAUUGCUGGACAGUAACUGACGCUGAGGCGCGAAAGCGUGGGGAGCAAACAGG
rnacentral:rRNA from 1 species